rnacentral:rRNA from 1 species
GACGAACGCUGGCGGCGUGCCUAACACAUGCAAGUCGAGCGGAGGCGCCUGAAGAGCAAUCGGAGGGUGUCUGAGCGGCGGACGGGUGAGUAACGCGUGAGCGAUCUGCCUUUCACAGGGGGAUAACGCAGCGAAAGCUGCACUAAUACCGCAUGAGACCACGGUACUGAUGGUACAGGGGUCAAAGGAGAGAUCCGGUGAGAGAUGAGCUCGCGUCCGAUUAGGUAGUUGGUGAGGUAACGGCCCACCAAGCCAAGGAUCGGUAGCCGGCCUGAGAGGGUGAACGGCCACAUUGGAACUGAGAGACGGGCCAAACUCCUACGGGAGGCAGCAGUGGGGAAUAUUGGGCAAUGGGGGAAACCCUGACCCAGCAACGCCGCGUGAGGGAAGAAGGUUUUCGGAUUGUAAACCUCUGUUCUUGGAGAAGAGGAGAAGACGGUAUCCAAGGAGGAAGCCCCGGCUAACUACGUGCCAGCCGCCGCGGUAA